AAUAGAUACCCGGGUAGUCCACGCCGUAAACGAUGGAUGCUAGCUGUUAUGAGUAUCGGACCCUUGUAGUAGCGAAGCUAACGCGUUAAGCAUCCCGCCUGUGGAGUACGAGCGCAAGCUUAAAACAUAAAGGAAUUGACGGGGACCCGCACAAGCGGUGGAGCGUGUUGUUUAAUUCGAUGAUAAGCGAAGAACCUUACCAAGGCUUGACAUCCCUGGAAUUUCUCCGAAAGGAGGGAGUGCCUUCGGGAAUCAGGUGACAGGUGAUGCAUGGCCGUCGUCAGCUCGUGUCGUGAGAUGUUUGGUUAAGUCCAUCAACGAGCGCAACCCUUGUAAAUAGUUGAAUUUUUCUAUUUAGACUGCCUCGGUAACGGGGAGGAAGGAGGGGAUGAUGUCAGGUCAGUAUUUCCCUUACGCCUUGGGCUACAAACACGCUACAAUGGCCGGUACAAAGGGCAGCCAACCCGCGAGGGGGAGCAAAUCCCAUCAAAACCGGUCUCAGUUCGGAUAGCAGGCUGAAAUUCGCCUGCUUGAAGCCGGAAUCGCUAGGUAAC
rnacentral:rRNA from 1 species